rnacentral:lncRNA from 1 species
GAAGGUUUUUUCAGCCCUUAGAUGAGGUUUAAUGCCACCUCUCUCUUGGCUGUGAGCACCCAUCUUUGAUCUCGAUUUGAAUGUGGUUUAAAUCAUAAAUAGUGUAAUGUGUUUUGUUGUUAAGGUUGUUUUUCGACAAGGUCACCCUACGACUGACCGUGGCCGGAGACUCACGGCCCCUGCCUCUCAGCCCUGAGCCACGCUUCCGCCCCCAUCUUUUAGGGAUCAGUUAGUAGAUUCAAGACAGAUGUGUCCGUGGCCCCAGAAAAGUGAACACUGGUAGGGACAUUCAGGGGAAAACUUAUUAAGAAUGCCUGAGGACAUCACCUUUGACUGAGUUUUAUUUUCAGUGGAAGGAAUGAAUGCUAAAUUAAGGGAGAAAAAAACACAGGGAUAACUCCUUGUCUAGCAUUCCCACCUGGCUACAGAACCUUGGUUUUCUAAGGACUGUUUCGGAGUUUUACCUCCUUGGAGCAGUCAUUUUCUUUGGUACGGUACUGCCAAGUUUGAAACUCUGCCAUCACCGAGGAAAAGGCAUUUGGCCUGAAGACUAGGAGCUUAGCUAGCAUGUAUACAAAAUAGGAGUUCAGAUCAUGAAAUUAAAAAGGUAACUCUGAUUUAGGCCACAGAACACAGUGGGGUGGUUAUCCUAGGAGUUUAGAAGGACUGCCUCCCAGCAUCUUGCAUCUCUCUAGCCUGAUCACUUUUUUCUCCUCAGAUGAUCCUUACCUGGCAUGAGAGGCGCCCUAACAGGCUAAAGUGUAUCAAAUAGGACCGAAAGAUGCUGCAUCACCAAGCACUUCUUUCGUUCCACCGUUUCCCCAAUUGCAGUGACGCCGUUGUGCCUCCAGUGGCCAGCAGAACUCCAGCGGAAGGUCUGCAGCCUAAAGGGAUGGAAUGCGCCUGGACCCAUCCUCACCUCACAUGGGCAGAGCCGACCUACCUUGCAGAGGUGCUGAGAUUUCCAGAGGGCUGGCCUCACUUUGAACACCAGCAACAUCUGCAAGACAAGAGCCCCCGAACUGCCAU